rnacentral:lncRNA from 1 species
UCGUGUGCCUCUCAGCCAAACAUUGCUCAAAAACCCCAGAGACAGGGAAAUAUUUUUCUGCUUGCAUUGGAAAGUUGGGAAAGACAUCUGAGGCAGAAGGAAAACUCAAGUCUUUACAAGUUCAUUUAUGAUUGGGACAUCAACAAAAACGGGGCCUACUUGAGGAAAGCCUUAGGAUUUCCUGAUGGGGUGAUGCUGAUUCAUGGUUACAGUCCAUCUUUGAAGGAAGUCAUAGCAGGAAAUCAAGGAAGAAAGCUGGAUUCAGGAACUGAAGCAGAAACCAUGGA